UACACAUUUGGUCCCUCAAUAAUUUCUUUAUUAGUAAUUCCACUGUGUUACUUUCUAUUAUUGCACUAUUUUUCCAAACAUUUUUUAUUAUUACUUUCCAUGACUGUGAGGAGUGAUCACAGUGACGAGCCGCGGCUAUAAAUUGGAAAAUUUGGGGAUUAUUCUAUCUCGUUAGUUUAAGUAUGAGGAGAUCUGGUGACGAUGGAAAGGUUUGGUGGAACACCGAUCAAGUUUUCCGCCCUUUUCUGUCCGCCCGAUGCUCCGAUGAUUCCUAAUCUCUCUUCAGCACCAGCUAUCGUCGUCGUCGUCGUCUUUAUCAUCAUCAUCAGCAUCAUUCGAUCAUUCAUUCCAUUCCACAACAAACACGACAACAAACGAUAACAAUUAUUAUUAUUCUUCUUCUUCUACUACAACUACUAGUACUACAAACCAGGCAAUGAUGAAUCGCCGUCCACUUUUGAUUAUUGUUCGUAUCAAAUCAGUGGAUUCCAGAUCGGUACAUUGGUAUCUUUGAUGGCACGGUGGUGAUUAUGGAUGGCCUGUUGAUGGCAACCGAUCAUCACCGGUGAUAGCAAAUCUGAGCCUCUUUUCUUUUAUGUGUUUGUUUUUAUUUUAUUUUAUUUUUACAUUUCUUUUCUGGAUUUUUACUUUUUAGGUAUUAUAGAUCUAUUUAUUCAUCUAUUUAGAUUUAAAAAAAACUGAAACAAUGAAAUCAAACCUAAAGAAAACUGUAAAAAGAUGGAUCAUGGAUGGCCUGUUGAUUCAACCGAUCGUCGCCGGUAAUGGUAAAGCUUAGUCUCUUUUUUAAUUAAGUCACUGUAAAAUAUAAAUAUAACAUUAAAACUAAAAAAACACAAUGAAAAAACGAGAUGAUAGACAGAAACAUAUAAAUGAAAAAAUAAAAUCGAAAUAUAUCAUAGAAGAAGUUUUAAUGUUCCAUAGAUUUAGGUGGAAGGAACUGGUUUUCCAUGGAGAGGUGGAGGGAAAUUUCUUGAGCAGAUUGUUGUCUCCUGGAAUAUCCGUUCAGAUCUUUGAGGUUUUAGAUAAUUUUCAAUUCACAUCUUUUUACUUCUUUUUUUAAUGUUUGUAAGACUUUCAUUUUAAUCUAAAAUCGUCUUAUUAAAUAAAAUAAAUAAGUUAUAAACUUAUAAUCUAUAACUAAAAUAAAAUAAAAAAUUAUUCCUAAUACUUAUUUAUGGUCAAUUUCAACUUUCAAGUGAUUUCAAUGAAAAUUGAAUAAUCAGAUGUAAAAGUUUUUAUUUAGUUCUUGAUUAGUCUUACCUAAAUAUUGUCCUACUUAUUUAUAAUAAGUUCAUAUGACUUAACAUGAGGCUACAUAAUUUCUAAAAGUGGAAAAAAUUAUUUAAAUAAUAAAUGAACAAAUGAAGUGAUUUUGUAAUCAGAUUUUCCUCUUCUUGUGUUUUUUAUAGGCAGACCCAUUGAUUUUCCUCUUAUUACCGUUAUCUUUUGACCGGGCUUUAUUCUUACCAACCCAAGAAGAGGGAGC
rnacentral:lncRNA from 1 species